GUGCAGUCGAGCGGAUGAGAAGAGCUUGCUCUUCGAUUCAGCGGCGGACGGGUGAGUAAUGCCUAGGAAUCUGCCUGGUAGUGGGGGACAACGUUUCGAAAGGAACGCUAAUACCGCAUACGUCCUACGGGAGAAAGCAGGGGACCUUCGGGCCUUGCGCUAUCAGAUGAGCCUAGGUCGGAUUAGCUAGUUGGUGAGGUAAUGGCUCACCAAGGCGACGAUCCGUAACUGGUCUGAGAGGAUGAUCAGUCACACUGGAACUGAGACACGGUCCAGACUCCUACGGGAGGCAGCAGUGGGGAAUAUUGGACAAUGGGCGAAAGCCUGAUCCAGCCAUGCCGCGUGUGUGAAGAAGGUCUUCGGAUUGUAAAGCACUUUAAGUUGGGAGGAAGGGCAUAAUAAUACCUUGUGUUUUGACGUUACCGACAGAAUAAGCACCGGCUAACUCUGUGCCAGCAGCCGCGGUAAUACAGAGGGUGCAAGCGUUAAUCGGAAUUACUGGGCGUAAAGCGCGCGUAGGUGGUUUGUUAAGUUGGAUGUGAAAGCCCCGGGCUCAACCUGGGAACUGCAUCCAAAACUGGCAAGCUAGAGUACGGUAGAGGGUGGUGGAAUUUCCUGUGUAGCGGUGAAAUGCGUAGAUAUAGGAAGGAACACCAGUGGCGAAGCGACCACCUGGACUGAUACUGACACUGAGUGCGAAAGCGUGGGGAGCAAACAGGAUUAGAUACCCUGGUAGUCCACGCCGUAACGAUGUCACUAGCCUUGGAAUCCUUGAGAUUUUAGUGGCGCAGCUAACGCAUAAGUUGACGCCUGGGGAGUACGGCGCAGUAAAACUCAAUGAAUUGACGGGGGCCCGCACAAGCGGUGGAGCAGGGUUUAAUUCGAAGCAACGCAAUUACCUGACUGCAAGAACUUUCAGAGAUGGCUUGGAUCUGAGCUGCAGGUCGCAGCUCGCGUGGUACCAACGACUCUUCUUGCACUAACACGAUGGUCGUCGUCA
rnacentral:rRNA from 1 species